rnacentral:rRNA from 1 species
AACGAACGCUGGCGGCAGGCUUAACACAUGCAAGUCGAGCGCCCGCAAGGGAGCGGCAGACGGGUGAGUAACGCGUGGGAAUCUACCUAGUUCUACGGAACAAAACAGGGAAACUUGUGCUAAUACCGUAUACGCCCUACGGGGGAAAGAUUUAUCGGAAUUAGAUGAGCCCGCGUUGGAUUAGCUAGGUGGUGGGGUAAUGGCCGACCAAGGCGACGAUUCAUAGCUGGUCUGAGAGGAUGAUCAGCCACACUGGGACUGAGACACGGCCCAGACUCCUACGGGAGGCAGCAGGGGGGAAUAUUGGACAAUGGGCGAAAGCCUGAUCCAGCCAUGCCGCGUGAGUGAUGAAGGCCUUAGGGUUGUAAAGCUCUUUCAGUAGGGAAGAUAAUGACGGUACCUACAGAAGAAGCCCCGGCUAACUUCGUGCCAGCCGCCGCCGUAA